rnacentral:rRNA from 1 species
GACGAACGCUGGCGGCUUGCCUAAUACAUGCAAGUCGAACUCAGUGGGGACGGGUGAGUAACCCGUGGGUAACCUCCCCAUCAGAGUGGAUAACACUUGGAAACAGGUGCUCAACCGAUACUGAUUGAUGGACCCGCGGUGCCUUAGCUAGUUGGUGAGGUAACGGCUCACAAAGGCCACGAGGCAUAGACGACCUGAGCGGGUGAUCGUCCACACUGGGACUGAUACACGGCCCAGACUCCUACGGGAGGCAGCAGUAGGGAAUCUUCGGCAAUGGACGAAAGUCUGACCGAGCAACGCCGCGUGAGUGAAGAAGGUUUUCGGAGCGUAAAACUCUGUUGUUAGAGAAGCGGUAUCUAACCAGAAAGCCACGGCUAACUACGUGCCAGCAGCCGCGGUAAUAC